GAGCCGCGGAGCUGACCAGCAAGGGGACCGGCCGGUGACAUCUAGGACAUAGGCGAGAUUCGACAGACCAGCCGGACAGACAACGAAGCCCCGAGGGUCCGACGUCGCGAGGGUCCGACGUCGGAGAGCGCCCAGCCGAGAGGCCUCUGGACAACACGCCCCUUCCCGACGGACAGAGUUUCUGCCGGUUCCUGUUGCAGUGCGCAAGCCAGCCGCCGACGAGAGGGAGGGAGCAGGACAUCAUGGUGCACGUGUUGUCGGACUCAGAAAUUUUGAUUAAUUAUUCUUAACCAAACACCAUGAAAAACGGACUGACAGAUGUUUUGUUAGGCUAAAGUAGCACACCGUUCCUGUCUUGUAUUGUGCCAGUUGUGAUGCAAUGUCGGAAAGAUUUUGUUCACCUCCGUAGAUACCUUGUUAACUUGACUUGUUAGUAGCUUUUAUCUCUCAAAACUUGACUUCCAUGUUAGUAGCUUUUAUCUCUGUAAAAAUAACAUUCGGAGUGUAUCACAACGUUUUAGUUGCUAUAUCAGUACGUGUAGGGAUUAAGCCUCCCUGUUGUUGUUGUUCAAAGCGUAGUAGUACCGUAUAUUGUUAUAUCGCCAGCCGUCUAUAUACAAUGUGGACAUUGUAAAAAGAAAAUGGGGUGAGGUGUCACGAGGCGACUUCGUGACUCAUAAUAAGGACCACAUGUACUAUAAUAAGGACCAGAUGUACGACACGAGGUCCGGGAGAUAGCCGCGUUAGGCGAGGUCAGUCGAGAGAGACCCGAGAAGGAGUAGGUCAGGGAGAGAGGAUCUGGGAAUAAAGUACACCUCAUCGCAA